rnacentral:rRNA from 1 species
UCUGGGUGACGAGCGGCGGACGGGUGAGUAAUGUCUGGGAAACUGCCUGAUGGCGGGGGAUAACUAGUGGAAACGGUAGCUAAUACCGCAUAACGUCGCAAGACCAAAGUGGGGGACCUUCGGGCCUCACGCCAUCAGAUGUGCCCAGGUGGGAUUAGCUGGUAGGUGGGGUAACGGCUCACCUAGGCGACGAUCCCUAGCUGGUCUGAGAGGAUGACCAGCCACACUGGAACUGAGACACGGUCCAGACUCCUACGGGAGGCAGCAGUGGGGAAUAUUGCACAAUGGGCGCAAGCCUGAUGCAGCCAUGCCGCGUGUGUGAAGAAGGCCUUCGGGUUGUAAAGCACUUUCAGCGAGGAGGAAGGGUAAUGUGUU